rnacentral:rRNA from 1 species
UAAGGUCCCCAAAUUCUUACUAAGUGUAAAAGGUGGUAGUAAACCAUUGACAGAUAGGAGGUUGGCUUAGAGGCAGCCAUCCUUUAAAGAGUGCGUAACAGCUCACUAUUCGAUGGUUUAUUGCGCCAAAAAUGUACCGGGGCUAAGUAAGAUACCGAAGACACGGAUGACCUGACGGAUGUCAGGUCGUGGUAGGAGAGCAUUCCAAACUGCGUUGAAGGCGGACCCGCGAGGGCUGCUGGAGUGUUUGGAAGAGAGAAUGUUGGUAUGAGUAACCCCAAAUUGGGUGAGAAACCCAAUCCCCGAAAAUCCCAGGUUUCCGUGGCAAUGGCAAUCAUCCACGGGUUAGGCGAUCCUAAGGCAAUGGCGAAAGCCGCAGCUAAUGGGUAGCCGGUUAAUAUUCCGGCCCGCCUUAUAUAUUCGAUGGAGUGACGGAGGAAAUAGAUUUGCGCGCCUUAAUGGUUUGGCGUCGCUUGCGUCAAGAUUUGGCUUCCAGGAAAAUCCGGAAGCCUGCAUUUAAUUGCGAAUUUCGCGCGCCGGCGUAAGGCAUUGUUUUUACAAUGCUAAUGCAAGAGAAGAGCCUUCCAAGAAAAACUUCUAAGUUUAGUUUGUAGGCAUCGUACCGUAAACCGACACAGGUGGGUGAGGCGAGAAGCCUCAGGGGAACGAGUGACUUGCCGCUAAGGAACUCGGCAAAAAAGCGGCCGUAAGUUAGCGAUAAGGCCUGCCCUUCGCAAGAAGGGCCGCAGCGAAAGUAUCUCUGGCAACUGUUUAACAAAAACACAGCUCCCUGCUAACUCGCAAGAGGAUGUAUAGGGGGUGACGCCUGACCGAUGCGAGAAGGUUAACGGUGGGGGUGGUAGGCCGCAAGGUUUACUGCUCACUGCCCGAAGCCCUCGUCAAUGUCAGCGGUAACUAUAACCGUUCUAAGGUAGCGCAAUUCCUUUUCGGGUAAAUAACUUGCCCCUUUUCGUCGCAAGGCGAAUCGAAGAAGUUGGCUUAUAACGGUGGAACCCAUGUUAUAAUUAGUGCAUGGAUAAUACCGUGGGAAGUCUCC